rnacentral:rRNA from 1 species
UACGGAGGGGGCUAGCGUUGUUCGGAAUUACUGGGCGUAAAGCGCGCGUAGGCGGACCUGCAAGUCGGGGGUGAAAGCCCGAGGCUCAACCUCGGAACUGCCUUCGAUACUGCGGGUCUCGAGUCCGGGAGAGGUGAGUGGAAUUCCUAGUGUAGAGGUGAAAUUCGUAGAUAUUAGGAAGAACACCAGUGGCGAAGGCGUCUCACUGGCCCGGUACUGACGCUGAGGCGCGAAAGCGUGGGGAGCAAACAGG